UACGUAGGUGGCAAGCGUUGUCCGGAUUUACUGGGCGUAAAGGGCUUGUAGGCGGUUCGUUAAGUCUGGUGUGAAAUCUCCCGGCUCAACCGGGAGGGGUCAUCGGAUACUGGCGGACUAGAGACAGGUAGAGGAAAGCAGAAUUCCCGGUGUAGCGGUGAAAUGCGUAGAUAUCGGAAGGAAUACCAGUGGCGAAGGCGGCUUUCUGGGCCUGUUCUGACGCUGAGGAGCGAAAGCGUGGGGAGCAAACCGG
rnacentral:rRNA from 1 species